UAUUUAAAAAGUCAUAAUGUUUAUUGUGUUUUGAACAGAAAUUAAGAUAUGGUAUAUAAAUUACUUCUUUUUUAUUGAUUAACAUGAUAGUACCACAAUGCAUUUAUGAGGUUAUGUAUUUAAUCUGCUUCAUGUAUUCUCUGGUUACUGUAUAUUCAAGAGAAAUGCAUAAACUCAAUUGUUGUAAUCAA